AAAAAGCCUCAAAAAUCCUUGUAAGAAAAUAAGAGAAAAUCUGCAGCAAGGGGCAGGAGCAGAUAAGAAUACACAAGCACCACAAACAUUGAAAGAGCUUCAGCAUUUUAAGCAGCAUCCUAUUAUAAUCUAGGACUGCAUUCUAUUAGCAUAAAAAUACCAGUUGUAUUUAUUUUGUUAAGGCUUUGCUGAGUAGACCCAAAAUCUAAUGCAGUUUAUCAAGUAGCUUUUCAGGUCCUACACAGAGGUGAACAGAUGGCUCUUCUGUGUGCCUGAGUAAGAAAAACCCUUUCUGCAAAGGGGAUGUCAAGCAGGAAAUUUCAGUAAGAGGCAUAAACCACAACUGUUUUCCAUUUGACUCAAGAUAGCCGUGUAUCAUCAGUGUUCCCUAAUCAGCUUAUUCAUCUUCAGCGUUCUAAGAUUUUUUAAAGCAGAAGUUAAAACUAAAUAACAACAAAACAGACAAAACAAACAAACAAAAACCUGAAACAUGAAUUGUUGGUGCUAAAAUGCAACAUUUGCAAGAUGCUGCCCAGAAAAUCUCCCAAGCAGAAGGAAUGGAACAGGAGGCAGCAGAGCAGCCACACAGUGCAAGAUGCACUUCUUGGCAAUUUCCAAAAGUAAAUAUCAUUAUAAAAGUGAAUAGAAAUGUAGUCUGCAUGGAGCAAAGAGUCUGCUGAAGAGCCUUCAUAGAGAAAGGCUGAUGGAGUCUGGUGGUACAUGCUGGCUCCUGAAGGUCAGAGCAGGCAAGCUUAAGAGCUGAGAUAGAUGAUGGGGAAAGCCCAGCCUUCUGUGCUCUAUGAGAGGCUGCAGUGAAAGGUGGGGUGGGCAGAGCUCCCUCCUCUCUUAGGAUCACUUGUCAGGAGAAAGUAGCAAACCUGUCUCUUCUUCCAUACUGGAGGAAUAUUUCAGAACGAGGAGGGUGGUACUGACUUGCCCGACUUAUGCUGGUUUUCUCAGCAUUCCUGCAGUGCUUACGGAGAGGCUUCCUUGCUCCUGACCAUAUCAUUUCAGAUGGUGUUUGAGAACUUUAUUGACAGUCUGGGCAAAGCUGGGGGAAGGUGGUGAUGGGGACUACCUGGGAGAGGCUGUUUCGGGUGGCAGCCUGUUGUAGUGUCCCUGCAGAAUGGGGUGAGCUGUUUCCCUGUCUGUACUGAAAGAUUGCCACAGUUUUCCCUGAGGAAAGAGAGGGAUGUCUCUCACCAGAAAUCCUUCCGAGCUGUGUGAGACAGAAGCAGCUGUGUGGGGGAAGGCAUCAGACUUGAGGAAGUCCUCAAGUUGUUUCUGACUUGUGAACAUCUUGGUUCUUAAGCCCAUGCAAGCUGCUGAAAUGUGAGUUCCCUUUUGAGUCUGGAUUUGGAGUGAACUGACCAGUUGACAAGGUGACAGGCUAAAAAAUGGUGGUGGGAAGGGACCUCUGGAGGUCACUGUCUCUGUCAUGGCCCUCACAUUUCCAUGGACACUGAACUGAUAGGUUGUAUCUACAGUUGCAACUGAAGCCCAAUAAUGGCCCCAAAUUAUUUUGAUGUUUCCCGAUUCUAUCAUCUAUAUAAAUGCAAUUGUGGUGCCUAGACAUGUUCCAAAGGGACUUGAUCACGUGAGAAGUCUGUGGAAAAGCAGGGAUUUGAACAAAGUAUCCCAAGUGUCAGCCUGUGUGCAAGCAAAGAGCCCUGCAAUGUAGGAGCAUUCACAGUACCGGAGCAUGGAACGAGGGUUUUCUUUUUCUCCAGUGAGCUACAUGCCUGGCUUCACUGCCUUCCUGGUUUGCCUGAGUGAGAUCACCCCACAAGGAAGGCAGUGGGAUCUGCCACAGUUGGGCAUUAAUUAGUUUGGCUUAAAGACCUGAGGCACGCAGGCUGGCUGCAGAGGAAAUAAGCUCCCGGAGUGAGGUCAGGGUGGCUUUCCAAGGACAGGGCUGGCCAGCUGGUCUGUCGAUAUGGGACCUGCUUCCCACUUGUCUUGGCUGCACAAACUGCUUUGCAGCCCAGAAAGUGAUGUCCUGAUGUGGAAAGGUUGUCUGUGCUCCUGCUAUUGUUGUGGUUGCAUUCCUUGAGUUUUCUCCAUGCACUGAAUUACAUGGAAGGCGUAAGUCUGGGCUAACAUCAGAGAUUACUUGGACCAUAUGAAGUCUGAGACACUGAGCAAGCUAUCUUUAUCACCAGAGUGAAUAUAUGCUUCCCGUGUCAUACACAAGCCCUUAAGACAAAAAAAA